CUAAGGAGGGGGAUAACCCCGGGAAACUGGGGAUAAUACCCCAUAGACUAUGAAUGCUGGAAUGCUUUGUAGUUGAAAGGUCCGCCGCCAUAGGAUGGGUCUGCGGCCGAUUAGGUUGUUGUUGGGGUAACGGCCCAACAAGCCUGUAAUCGGUACGGGUUGUGGGAGCAAGAGCCCGGAGAUGGAUUCUGAGACACGAAUCCAGGCCCUACGGGGCGCAGCAGGCGCGAAAACUUUACAAUGCGGGAAACCGUGAUAAGGGAACUCCGAGUGCCCGUAAAAUCGGGCUGUCCAUCUGUUUAAAUAACAGGUGAAGAAAGGGCCGGGCAAGACCGGUGCCAGCCGCCGCGGUAAUACCGGCGGCUCGAGUGGUGGCCACUAUUACUGGGCUUAAAGCGUUCGUAGCUGGUCUGUUAAGUCUCUGGGGAAAUCUACUGGCUUAACCAAUAGGCGUUUCAGGGAUACUGGCAGACUAGGGACCGGGAGAGGUGAGAGGUACUCCAGGGGUGGGAGUGAAAUCCUGUAAUCCUUGGGGGACCACCUGUGGCGAAGGCGUCUCACCAGAACGGCUCCGACAGUGAGGGACGAAAGCUGGGGGAGCAAACCGGAUUAGAUACCCGGGUAGUCCCAGCCGUAAACGAUGCGCGUUAGGUGUAUCGAUGACCACGAGUCAUCGAGGUGCCGAAGAGAAAUCGUGAAACGUGCCGCCUGGGAAGUACGGUCGCAAGGCUGAAACUUAAAGGAAUUGGCGGGGGAGCACCACAACAGGUGGAGCCUGCGGUUUAAUCGGACUCAACGCCGGAAAUCUCACCGGAUAAGACAGCUGUAUGAUAGUCGGGCUGAAGACUCUACUUGACUAGCUGAGAGGUGGUGCAUGG
rnacentral:rRNA from 1 species